rnacentral:rRNA from 1 species
GAUGAACGCUGGCGGCGUGCCUAAUACAUGCAAGUCGAGCGAACAGAUGAGGAGCUUGCUCCUCUGACGUUAGCGGCGGACGGGUGAGUAACACGUGUAUAACCUACCUAUAAGACUGGUAUAACUUCGGGAAACCGGAGCUAAUACCGGAUAAUAUAUUGAACCGCAUGGUUCAAUAGUGAAAGACGGUUUUGCUGUCACUUAUAGAUGGAUCCGCGCCGCAUUAGCUAGUUGGUAAGGUAACGGCUUACCAAGGCAACGAUGCGUAGCCGACCUGAGAGGGUGAUCGGCCACCCUGGAACUGAGCCACGGUCCAGACUCCUACGGGAGGCAGCAGUAGGGAAUCUUCCGCAAUGGGCGAAAGCUUGACGGAGCAACGCCGCGUGAGUGAUGAAGGUCUUCGGAGCGUAAAACUCUGUUAUUAGGGAAGAACAAAUGUGUAAGUAACUAUGCACGUCUUGACGGUACCUAAUCAGAAAGCCACGGCUAACUACGUG